AUUGGCUGCUGUUAUUGGCUGCUAGCUUGCUGUCAGUGAACUUGAUAUAGAUAGAACAAGCACAAUGCGAUUAUGAUAUGUGCAAGCCAACCUUAAAGCGAGCUAAAAGAAGACUACGCCACCAUGUCCAGAAACCCAUCCAUCCUCGUGGACGACCCGGAAGCGCUGGUCGACGCAGUCAUCCGCAUCUGUGUUGAGGGACUGUCCGCCCAUGAGCCUGUCACCGUGCGCGCGGAGAUACGUCACGAGGGCGCCGUGUAUGCCGCAUGCGCUAAUUACGUAGCAGACGACCAGGGCGUUGUUGACGUCACACGAGAUGCUUCGUCAGGGGGAACGUACGAAGGUGUUUCAGCAAUGGGUCUAUUCUGGAGUAUGAAGGCGGCCCCAGGCCAGCCUUACGGCUUGCGACUGGUGGUGGCCAAUGCCUCGUUGCCUCUCCUCUCUGACGUCGCGGUGUUUCCGGGGCACCUCAGUCUCGAACAGACGUACACAGACGACGCCUCGCCCUUGUGCACGAAGAUAAUUCGGCGCUGGUACAUGGGAAAGGGCGUAAAGAAAAUACCGGUUUCAUCGGGAAGGCUACGUGGGACAUUGUUCCUACCGCAAGGGCGUGGUCCAUUUCCGGGAGUUAUAGACAUGUUCGGAACGAUGGGCGCCUGUAUCGAGUUCCGGGCCGCCCUCCUCGCAUCCCAUGGGUUCGCGGCCCUUGCGCUGCCCUACUUCCGGUACCGCGAUCUGCCGAAGAAGAUGGCUGACGUCGAGUUCGAGUAUUUUAUGGAAGCAGUAGACUGGCUGUGCAACCAAGAUCAUGUUGACCCGGACGGGGUUGGCGUCAUGGGCGUCUCGAAGGGCGGGGAAAUAGCCCUGCACCUCGCCUAUUACCACCCAAAGGUGAAAGCUGUGGUUAGUAUUAAUGGAGCCCCGUUUUUCACUGUCGAGCCAAUGAAAUAUAACGGUGGAUACAUCGGGGAAAGCAUAACUAACAUCGACGACUAUGAAGUGUCUGACGAAGGGGUUCUGUCGCGCAACGUCAUGGAUGCUGAAAUACAUCACUACCUGCCCUUAUGGAAGAAGAACGUCCAUUGUCUGCUUGUGAACGGACUGGAUGAUGUUUGUCUACGUCCAAAACUCCAGCACACUUUCUACAAUCUUUACCCACCCGUCCGGCGUCAUUUUUGUCGUCUGCUUACAUACACAGACGCAGGUCACCUUAUAGAACCACCCUACGCGCCAUUAACACGCGCCACCAAACGACAUGCAGGAGUAACUGACCAUGAGCAAGAUAUGUUUCGGUAUAUCGUGUGGGGUGGGCGGACCGAGGGUCACGCGCAUGCGCAAGAGGAUUCGUGGAGAAAGAUUCUAGAACAUUUUCGUACUCAUCUUUCAAGCAAUACCCAUAAAGACCAUUCACUAAAACAGCAUAAUGCUUCCAGAUUGUGAAACCCGUGAAAAUCUAAAGAUAUCUGUGAUGUGUAUUUCAGGGAUGAUGUAAAUAUUAGACAGCAUACCAUCAGUUGGCAAUUUACAUAUACAUGUUAUAAUAAUAACACUCGCAUCUUAUUUGCUAUGUAUGCAUAACCGAGGAGGAUGAGAAGUGUGAUGCAUUUUUCAUUACUGUAUUUAGGAUUGUUCCCGGUGUAUAUUCUUCUCCAUAUCCAAAUAGCAGAUCAUUAUGAUAGUUUAAAAGUCCUGUGCCAGUGGACGUAUAUAGACAAAGGAUAAACGUCUCGGGAAGUAUAAAUAGAAAACUCGUUGUGGACAAACUCGAGGCAAUUAGAUCGCGGUCCACUGCCAUAACCCUUACAAUAACCCUUACACCACUGCGACGACGUCUUUUAACUGUCAAAGAGGACAUAUAAACUUUCGAAGAGUUAUUUUUAGCAUCUAGUGUUAAUAGGAGAAGUAACUAAAAGUUAUCCGGGCUGUUCAAAAUAAAGCUGUUCAGUCAAAGUUUAAGGCCAUGUUUUCCUUUUGUGAUGCAUUUUUAAUGAAUGUUGACCAUAUAAUAUCAAAAUGAAG